rnacentral:rRNA from 1 species
UAGUAACGGCGAGUGAAGCGGCAAAAGCUCAAAUUUAGAAAUCUGGUACCUUCGGUGCCCGAGUUGUAAUUUGGAGAGGGCAACUUUGGGGCCGUUCCUUGUCUAUGUUCCUUGGAACAGGACGUCAUAGAGGGUGAGAAUCCCGUGUGGCGAGGAGUGCGGUUCUUUGUAAAGUGCCUUCGAAGAGUCGAGUUGUUUGGGAAUGCAGCUCUAAGUGGGUGGUAAAUUCCAUCUAAAGCUAAAUAUUGGCGAGAGACCGAUAGCGAACAAGUACAGUGAUGGAAAGAUGAAAAGAACUUUGAAAAGAGAGUGAAAAAGUACGUGAAAUUGUUGAAAGGGAAGGGCAUUUGAUCAGACAUGGUGUUUUGUGCCCUCUGCUCCUUGUGGGUAGGGGAAUCUCGCAUUUCACUGGGCCAGCAUCAGUUUUGGUGGCAGGAUAAAUCCAUAGGAAUGUAGCUUGCCUCGGUAAGUAUGUAUAGCCUGUGGGAAUACUGCCAGCUGGGACUGAGGACCCU